GGGGGCGUAACGGUUUCGACGGGGAUUAUGAAGUGUGAGAAGCGAGUAGAGCUGCACCAUCUCUUUAAACUGGGGCACGUUUAAAAUUAAACGCUAAAAAGAAUAUUUCUGUAAGCUUUAACAAGAGCCUGCAGGUAGCUGCCUAAGUCAGCUACUGUCGCCCGUAGGAGAACCACGGCCUACGCUGCGGCAUCAUGCAGUGGUGAACGAUUCAGCGGCCUGUUCACACCGUAGAAUUGUAUUGGAACUACUAAAUAGGUCCGCCUGUUUAUCGGCUGAUGUGUUUGGGAAUUCUAGUAGAUAAACUACACUCGUAGAACCUUGCAUGGAUUGAUUUUCGGACACGGGUUCAAUUCCCGUCGCCUCCACCA
rnacentral:tmRNA from 1 species